CUGCUGCCUCCCGUAGGAGUCUGGCCCGUGUCUCAGUACCAGUGUGGGGGACCUUCCUCUCAGAACCCCUACGCAUCGUCGCCUUGGUGGGCCGUUACCCCGCCAACAAGCUAAUGCGACGCAUGACCAUCCGUAGCCGGAAUCGCUUCCUUUAAACCCACAGAGAUGCCUCCAUGGGUUGUUACGCGGUAUUAGACGGAAUUUCUUCCGCUUAUCCCCCUGCUACGGGCAGGUUUCAUACGUGUUACUCACCCGUGCGCCGGUCGCCGG
rnacentral:rRNA from 1 species